UGAGCAACCUAACCGAAAUGUGGGGAUAGCCGGCCUAACGGCCGAGUAAUACCGCAUACGCUCUCGAUGAGGCAUUUCAUUGAGAGGAAACCUACGGGACAUUUCGAGGGCUCGCGGCCUAUCAGCUUGUUGGUGAGGUAAUGGCUCACCAAGGCGACGACGGGUAGCCGGCCUGGAGGAGGGCGAUCGGCCACACGUGGGACUGAGACACGGCCCAGACUCCGUACGGGAGG
rnacentral:rRNA from 1 species